CUCUCCCGUGGUACUCAAAUGUGGAAGCACUCUUCAGACAAAUCAGUGAAAAGUGCUACUAUAUUUGGGUGUCACUGGUGGG
rnacentral:pre_miRNA from 10 species